GAUGAACGCUGGCGGCGUGCCUAAUACAUGCAAGUCGAGCGAACAGACGAGGAGCUUGCUCCUCUGACGUUAGCGGCGGACGGGUGGGUAACACGUGGAUAACCUACCUAUAAGACUGGGAUAACUUCGGGAAACCGGAGCUAAUACCGGAUAAUAUAUUGAACCGCAUGGUUCAAUAGUGAAAGACGGGUUUGCUGUCACUUAUAGAUGGAUCCGCGCCGCAUUAGCUAGUUGGUAAGGUAACGGCUUACCAAGGCAACGAUGCGUAGCCGACCUGAGAGGGUGAUCGGCCACACUGGAACUGAGACACGGUCCAGACUCCUACGGGAGGCAGCAGUAGGGAAUCUUCCGCCAUGGGCGAAAGCCUGACGGAGCAACGCCGCGUGAGUGAUGAAGGUCUUCGGAUCGUAAAACUCUGUUAUUAGGGAAGAACAAAUGUGUAAGUAACUAUGCACGUCUUGACGGUACCUAAUCAGAAAGCCACGGCUAACUACGUG
rnacentral:rRNA from 1 species